GCUGGGCUGGCUCAGUAGGUAGAGUAUGUGACUUUUGAUCUCAGGGUCAUGAGUUCAAGCCUGGUGUUGGGUG
rnacentral:tRNA from 1 species